GAUGAACGCUGGCGGCGUGCCUAGUACAUGCAAGUCGAGCGAACAGACGAGGAGCUUGCUCCUUCGACGUUAGCGGCGGACGGGUGAGUAACACGUAGGUAACCUACCUAUAAGACUGGGAUAACUUCGGGAAACCGGAGCUAAUACCGGAUAAUAUUUCGAACCGCAUGGUUCGAUAGUGAAAGAUGGCUUUGCUAUCACUUAUAGAUGGACCUGCGCCGUAUUAGCUAGUUGGUAAGGUAACGGCUUACCAAGGCAACGAUACGUAGCCGACCUGAGAGGGUGAUCGGCCACACUGGAACUGAGACACGGUCUAGACUCCUACGGGAGGCAGCAGUAGGGAAUCUUCCGCAAUGGGCGAAAGCCUGACGGAGCAACGCCGCGUGAGUGAUGAAGGUCUUCGGAUCGUAAAACUCUGUUAUUAGGGAAGAACAAACGUGUAAGUAACUGUGCACGUCUUGACGGUACCUAAUCAGAAAGCCACGGCUAACUACGUA
rnacentral:rRNA from 1 species